rnacentral:misc_RNA from 1 species
GAUGAAGAACGCAGCGAAAUGCGAUAAGUAAUGCGAAUUGCAGAAUUCAGUGAGUCAUCGAAUCUUUGAACGCACAUUGCGCCCGCCAGUAUUCUGGCGGGCAUGCCUGUUCGAGCGUCAUUUCAACCCUCAAGACCCCUUCGGGGGACUUGGUGUUGGGGACCGGCACAGGGGCCUGCCUGCUUGUCUUGCAGCGCCCUCGCCGCCCCCGAAAUGAAUUGGCGGCCUCGUCGCGGCCUCCCCUGCGUAGUAGCACAAACCUCGCAACGGGAACGUGACGGCGGCCACUGCCGUAAAACAACCCAAUUUUAUUAGAGUUGACCUCGAAUCAGGUAGGAAUACCCGCUGAACUUAAGCAUAUCAAUAAGCGGAGGA